rnacentral:misc_RNA from 1 species
GAUGAAGAACGUAGCGAAAUGCGAUAAGUAAUGUGAAUUGCAGAAUUCAGUGAAUCAUCGAAUCUUUGAACGCACAUUGCGCCCGGCAGUACUCUGCCGGGCAUGCCUGUUCGAGCGUCAUUUCAACCCUCAAGCCCUGCUUGGUGUUGGGGCCCCACGGCUGCCGUGGGCCCUGAAAGGAAGUGGCGGGCUCGCUACAACUCCGAGCGUAAUAAUUCAUUAUCUCGCUUAGGGCGUUGGGCGGCGCUCCAGCCGUUAAAGAACCAUCUUUAACUCAAGGUUGACCUCGGAUCAGGUAGGAAUACCCGCUGAACUUAAGCAUAUCAAUAAGCGGAGGA